UCCGUAGGCGGUGUGGCAAGUCGGAAGUGAAAUCUCUGGGCUUAACUCAGAGGCUGCUUCCGAAACUGCCGUGCUAGAGUGCGAGAGAGGCAAGUGGAAUUGCGGGUGUAGCGGUGAAAUGCGUAGAUAUCCGCAGGAACAUCCGAGGCGAAAGCGGCUUGCUGGAUCGCAACUGACGCUGAGGGACGAAAGCUAGGGGAGCAAACAGGAUUAGAUACCCUGGUAGUCCUAGCCCUAAACCAUCAGGACUUGGGGUUUGCCCUGUACGGGGCAAGUCCCGUAGCUAACGCGUUAAGUCCUGUGCCUGGGGAGUACGGUCGCAAGGCUGAA
rnacentral:rRNA from 1 species